rnacentral:lncRNA from 1 species
GUCAAGAUGAGCCUGCACAUACCUGCUGCGUUUUGGUCCUCUUCUCUCCAGUGGGGCCCAUCUUCCCCAUUAGCCCCUGGACCACCCUGCCUGCCCCUGACCAUGAGCCUGCCUGCCGACGUGUACCUUUUUCCCUCCACUGGUUACCGACCCCUGCCUGCCUUGACCGGUCUAUUGCCUGCCCUUGUGGAAUCAUCAAACCACUGUUUAUCCGAAAGUGUCUGCAUCCAGGGCCCUGGGUCUGAGCCCCCCCCUGUGCAACUGGGUCUAGACUUCCAGACGGGCCAACCCCAGGUGGUUAACGUAGGGAACAACACUUCCGCCAUGCUGAUCCUCAUCACUGGGGCCCAACACUGUACUCCCUGUUCACCCAUGAUGUGCGUGGUUACGGAAGUCUCCAACUCAAUCAAUCAAGUUCGCUAACAACACAACAUUGGUGACCUGAUCACCAACAACAAUGAGACAGCCAACAGGGAGGUUAUGGGAGCCCUGGCGGAGUGGUGACAGG